UGACCUUGGCUCAAAUUCUCAAGUGGUUUGAGUUUUGUUUUUUUCCAAGCACCAAUGCUGCUCAUGUUUUGUUCUUCCCAUAUUUUCUUUCACACUUUGACAAUUUUUGACUAAUCCUUUCACCAGCUUUAUUGUCUCUUGUCUCUGUGUUACUGUUUCUCAGCUUGUCAUUUAAUAACUGAAAUACUAGGAUGUAUAAGUACACGGGAAAUGCCAUAUAUCAUCCAGUUGUCAUGUUUGGAAUUGCAGCUCUGUUGCACAUGAUACAGUUAUAAAUUAAAAUUUUCCAUUGACCUGGAGCUUAGAAGGAUAUUUUCAGUGCAGUAUUUACUUCAUUUUGCAGAUCUUGAUAUAUUUAUAUCUAUUUAUCUUUUAUGUAUCUAUUUGUAUUUCUUCUUAUGUUCCUAUUUCUUAUUUAUUUUGCUAUUCCUAGUAAAAAUCCAUUUCUCUGGCUUGCCCUUGUCUCUAUUGAGGUGAUCUUUGCAACCAUUCCUGAGACAGAGUGAAAGUUUUUGCUUGUAAAUGGAUUGGCAAACAUAUACAAAAUCCUGCAUGUUCUAUCUAUGCAGAGAACUAGGGAAAGUUGACUUUUCUCAAUAUCAAAGGAAAAAGGAGAAAAUGAUGUCUUUCAAAAAUGGCUGUGUCUGAAAUAAUUCAGGACAGGAAGAUUUUAUGAGACCUGUCUUUAUAAAUUCUGGAAUUGAUCCAUUUGUCUCUUUAAAAUUUAACUGCAGUCAAGAGAAAGAUUAAAGAUUGUGUCAUUUUGAUAAUGUAGUACAAAGCUAUAUUUGGUAACUAAAAGAGCUUGUCGAAAGCACUUGCUUUCCACCAGGACUAGCGCAUUGAAGCCAACAUGGGACCUGAAUCCAGCCCAUUUUUGAAUCAUGACAGGCCCAAGCCAUCUUUAAAAAUGUUGAGAUCGCAUGCUGUCGGAUUUGGUUCAGACUUCCCAGACUUGUCUGAUUACUUAAUCCAAAGCCACAUCCUCCACUCGAUGGCUGCCAAAGUGAGCCACAGGCGAGAGGUGAGCUGAGUUGUGUUUGGUCAGUCCCCAUGCAAGUUGUUCUUUCCUUUUUUUCUUCUCCUACUCUGUGGUUUUCUUGUUUUGUUUGGUCUUUUUCCCUGGUUUUUGUUUUGUUUUGUUUGUUUUGUUUUGUUUGGUUUUUUUUUUUUUUGUCAUAAUUUUACAUAUGAUCCUCUUGGUUUGUUCUUUACCUGUUUACAUUGCACCUAAUCACAUU
rnacentral:lncRNA from 1 species